AUUGAACGCUGGCGGCAGGCUUAACACAUGCAAGUCGAGCGGAGAUGAGGUGCUUGCACCUUAUCUUAGCGGCGGACGGGUGAGUAAUGCUUAGGAAUCUGCCUAUUAGUGGGGGACAACAUUCCGAAAGGAAUGCUAAUACCGCAUACGUCCUACGGGAGAAAGCAGGGGAUCUUCGGACCUUGCGCUAAUAGAUGAGCCUAAGUCGGAUUAGCUAGUUGGUGGGGUAAAGGCCUACCAAGGCGACGAUCUGUAGCGGGUCUGAGAGGAUGGUCCGCCACGCUGGGACUGAGACACGGCCCAGACUCCUACGGGAGGCAGCAGUGGGGAAUAUUGGACAAUGGGGGGAACCCUGAUCUAGCCAUGCCGCGUGUGUGAAGAAGGCCUUAUGGUUGUAAAGCACUUUAAGCGAGGAGGAGGCUACUGAGACUAAUACUCUUGGAUAGUGGACGUUACUCGCAGAAUAAGCACCGGCUAACUCUGUGCCAGCCGCCGCCGUAACAC
rnacentral:rRNA from 1 species